UACAGAGGUCCCCAAGCGUUGUUCGGAUUCACUGGGCGUAAAGGGUGCGUAGGCGGUGGGGUAAGUCUGGUGUGAAAGCUCGGAGCUCAACUCCGAAAUGUCAUCGGAAACUACUUCACUGGAGGUUUGGAGGGGGGACUGGAAUUCUCGGUGUAGCAGUGAAAUGCGUAGAUAUCGAGAGGAACACCAGUGGCGAAGGCGAGUCCCUGGACAAAUCCUGACGCUGAGGCACGAAAGCUAGGGGAGCAAACAGGAUUAGAAACCCCAGUAGU
rnacentral:rRNA from 1 species